UGGGGAAUUUUGGACAAUGGGGGAAACCCUGAUCCAGCCAUCCCGCGUGUGCGAUGAAGGCCUUCGGGUUGUAAAGCACUUUUGGCAGGAAAGAAACGUCAUGGGUUAAUACCCCGUGAAACUGACGGUACCUGCAGAAUAAGCACCGGCUAACUACGUGCCAGCAGCCGCGGUAAUACGUAGGGUGCAAGCGUUAAUCGGAAUUACUGGGCGUAAAGCGUGCGCAGGCGGUUCGGAAAGAAAGAUGUGAAAUCCCAGAGCUCAACUUUGGAACUGCAUUAUUAACUACCGGGCUAGAGUGUGUCAGAGGGAGGUGGAAUUCCGCGUGUAGCAGUGAAAUGCGUAGAUAUGCGGAGGAACACCGGUGGCGAAGGCAGCCUCCUGGGAUAACACUGACGCUCAUGCACGAAAGCGUGGGGAGCAAACAGG
rnacentral:rRNA from 1 species